rnacentral:rRNA from 1 species
AGGGAAUCUUCGGCAAUGGGGGCAACCCUGACCGAGCAACGCCGCGUGAGUGAAGAAGGUUUUCGGAUCGUAAAGCUCUGUUGUAAGUCAAGAACGGGUGUGAGAGUGGAAAGUUCACACUGUGACGGUAGCUUACCAGAAAGGGACGGCUAACUACGUGCCAGCAGCCGCGGUAAUACGUAGGUCCCGAGCGUUGUCCGGAUUUAUUGGGCGUAAAGCGAGCGCAGGCGGUUUGAUAAGUCUGAAGUUAAAGGCUGUGGCUCAACCAUAGUUCGCUUUGGAAACUGUCAAACUUGAGUGCAGAAGGGGAGAGUGGAAUUCCAUGUGUAGCGGUGAAAUGCGUAGAUAUAUGGAGGAACACCGGUGGCGAAAGCGGCUCUCUGGUCUGUAACUGACGCUGAGGCUCGAAAGCGUGGGGAGCGAACAGGAUUAGAUACCCUGGUAGUCCACGCCGUAAACGAUGAGUGCUAGGUGUUGGAUCCUUUCCGGGAUUCAGUGCCGCAGCUAACGCAUUAAGCACUCCGC